rnacentral:misc_RNA from 1 species
AAUAAAAGUUACAAUUGUCCUCUAAUGAUUGCAUAAUCCCAAUCAUUAAAAAUGUGCAUUUCAUAUAACUUUCAUGCUUGUAAACGACUGACCGUAUAUGGAAGCGCUAUUGUAAAUAUACAAAACAUUCUAUUAAUUUUUAAAACAUGAGGGUGAUAUUCUCUUAUUUAAGAUUCAGCAUGUUGCAUAUUCUAUAUGAUGCUAAAAAAUGAAAAUCUCAACAAUGAAAUGAUGAUAUCCUUUCCAUAUAAAUUUCAAUUUAAUAAAGAAAUUAACACAAUGCAUUUUAUCAAAUUUUAUUUUGAUUGGAAGAUUUUAAGAGUGCCCUUUUUCACAUAAGUCCAAUGCAUCCAUUAUUAU